CGCCUUGGUCUGGUCUCUAUAUCUUCUAGAUUUUCAAGAAUGCCUAGGUAGUGAUCUUGAUAGUUAUCAAUUAAUACAUUGAACACAGACUGCAUGUUUAUCUAUUCUCAAAACCAGCGAACUUCGAAAUAAUGAUGCAACUGUUGCAGCUAAAGUCAUAGAAAAAAUGGCAUGUGUCCAACACAUGGUAGGCUAAACGACGGUUAAACGAUGCUUUGGACCUCGGUUAUAAUGAUCGGCUGUUUAAGGGCUUUAAACACUGGUUAACGUGUGGUGAACAUUAAAAAUGACUUGAUCAGUAGUUUAAGUGUUAAACAGCCGUUUUGAAAGUCGGUGAACUCGGCCCUUANAGUAUUU